rnacentral:rRNA from 1 species
CAAAAACAUCGCCUCUUGUCACUCAACAAUAUAAGAGGUCCCGCCUGCCCAGUGACUUAGUUUAACGGCCGCGGUAUUUUGACCGUGCAAAGGUAGCGUAAUCACUUGUCUUUUAAAUAAAGACCUGUAUGAACGGCAACACGAGGGCUCAACUGUCUCCCCCUUUUAAUCAGUGAAAUUGAUUUCCCCGUGCAGAAGCGGGGGUUCGCACAUAAGACAAAAAGACCCUGUGGAGCUUAAAACACAAGAGAGGAGUAUCCCCAACUUAUUUCACAAACAAUUAGACCAUAUACCCUCCCCUCCCCCCUGUUUUUGGUUGGGGCGACCGCGGUGUAAUAAAUAACCCCCGCGAGGACAGGAACCACUGUUUCUACAAAGAAGACCUGCAGUUCUUCUAUACAAAACUUUUGACCUUGAGAUCCGGUAUUACCGAUUAACGAAUCAAGUUACCCCAGGGAUAACAGCGCAAUCCCCUCCCAGAGCUCAUAUCGACGAGGGGGUUUACGACCUCGAUGUUGGAUCAGGACACCCUAAUGGUGCAGCCGCUAUUAAGGGUUCGUUUGUUCAACGAUUAAAGUCCUACGUGAUCUGAGUUCAAACCGGA